rnacentral:rRNA from 1 species
UACGGGGGGGGCAAGCGUUGUUCGGAAUUACUGGGCGUAAAGGGCUCGUAGGCGGCCAACUAAGUCAGACGUGAAAUCCCUCGGCUUAACCGGGGAACUGCGUCUGAUACUGGAUGGCUUGAGAUUGGGAGAGGGAUGCGGAAUUCCAGGUGUAGCGGUGAAAUGCGUAGAUAUCUGGAGGAACACCGGUGGCGAAGGCGACAUCCUGGACCAACACUGACGCUGAGACGCGAAAGCGUGGGGAGGCA